UACGAAGGGGGCUAGCGUUGUUCGGAAUUACUGGGCGUAAAGCGCACGUAGGCGGCUUUGUAAGUUAGAGGUGAAAGCCUGGUGCUCAACACCAGAACUGCCUUUAAGACUGCAUCGCUUGAAUCAUGGAGAGGCGGGUGGAACUCCUGGUGGAGUGGUGAAAUGCGUAGAGAUCAGGAAGAACACCCGUGGCGAAGGCGGCCCACUGGGCCGGUACUGACGCUGAGGCGCGAAGGCGUGGGGAGCGAACGGG
rnacentral:rRNA from 1 species